rnacentral:piRNA from 1 species
UAGAAUCGUGCUCAGAAAUAAAAGGAA